rnacentral:sRNA from 1 species
GCUGGGCAUGGAGGCCCACUCCUGUAAUCCCAGCGACUUGGGAGGCUGAGGCGGGAGGAUUGCAAGUUCAAAGACAGCCUCAGCAAUUUACUGAGGCCCUAAGCAUCUUAGAGAGACUCUGUCUCAA